rnacentral:rRNA from 1 species
AGUGAACGCUGGCGGCGUGCUUAACACAUGCAAGUCGAACGAGAACGGGUUAUAGCUUGCUAUAAUUGUCAGCUAAGUGGCGCACGGGUGAGUAAUGUAUAGGUAAUAUGCUUCUUACUAAGGGAUAACAAAUGGAAACGUUUGCUAAUACCUUAUACUCCUUAUUAACAUAAGUUAAUAAGGGAAAGAUUUAUUGGUAAGAGAUUAGCCUGUAUUGUAUCAGUUAGUUGGUGGGGUAAUGGCUUACCAAGACUAUGACACAUAACUGGUUUGAGAGGAUGAUCAGUCACAAUGGAACUGAGACACGGUCCAGACUCCUACGGGAGGCAGCAGUGGGGAAUAUUGCACAAUGGACGAAAGUCUGAUGCAGCAACGCCGCGUGGAGGAUGACACAUUUCGGUGCGUAAACUCCUUUUAUAUGAGAAGAUAAUGACGGUAUUAUAUGAAUAAGCACCGGCUAACUCCGUGCCAGCCGCCGCCGUAA